AACGAACGCUGGCGGCAUGCCUAACACAUGCAAGUCGAACGGGACCUUCGGGUAUCGUGGCGCACGGGUGCGUAACGGGUGGGAACCUGCCCUUAGGUUCGGAAUCAACCCCUGAAAGGGGUGCUAAUUACGGAUAAUGUCGCCGGACCAAAGAUUUAACGCCCUUGGAGGGGACCGCGUUUGAUUAGCUAGUGGGUAGGGUAAAAGCGUACAAAGGCGAGGUUCUAUAGCUGGUAUGAGAGGAUGAUCAGACACACUGGGACUGAGACACGGCCCAGACUCCUACGGGAAGCAGCAGUGGGGAAUAUUGGACAAUGGGCGAAAGCCUGAUCCAGCAAGGCCGCGUGAGUGAUGAAGGUCUUAGGGUUGUAAAGCUCUUUUACCCGGGAUGAUAAUGACGGUACCGGGAGAAUAAGCACCGGCUAACUCCGUG
rnacentral:rRNA from 1 species